AAUAGAUACCCUGGUAGUCCACGCCGUAAACGAUGUCGACUUGGAGGUUGUGCCCUUGAGGCGUGGCUUCCGGAGCUAACGCGUUAAGUCGACCGCCUGGGGAGUACGGCCGCAAGGUUAAAACUCAAAUGAAUUGACGGGGGCCCGCACAAGCGGUGGAGCAUGUGGUUUAAUUCGAUGCAACGCGAAGAACCUUACCUGGUCUUGACAUCCACAGAACUUGGCAGAGAUGCCUUGGUGCCUUCGGGAACUGUGAGACAGGUGCUGCAUGGCUGUCGUCAGCUCGUGUUGUGAAAUGUUGGGUUAAGUCCCGCAACGAGCGCAACCCUUAUCCUUUGUUGCCAGCGGUCCGGCCGGGAACUCAAAGGAGACUGCCAGUGAUAAACUGGAGGAAGGUGGGGAUGACGGUCAAGUCAUCAUGGCCCUUACGACCCAGGGGCUACACACGUGCUACAAUGGCAUAUACAAAGAGAGGCGACCUCGCGAGAGCAAGCGGACCUCAUAAAGUAUGUCGUAGUCCGGA
rnacentral:rRNA from 1 species